rnacentral:rRNA from 1 species
UACCAGCACCCCGAGUGGUCGGGACGUUUAUUGGGCCUAAAGCAUCCGUAGCCGGUUCUGCAAGUCUUCCGUUAAAUCCACCUGCUUAACAGAUGGGCCGCGGAAGAUACUAUAGAGCUAGGAGGCGGGAGAGGCAAGCGGUACUCGAUGGGUAGGGGUAAAAUCCGUUGAUCCAUUGAAGACCACCAGUGGCGAAGGCGGCUUGCCAGAACGCACUCGACGGUGAGGGAUGAAAGCUGGGGGAGCAAACCGG